UUUAAUUGAGUUUAGCCAUAUAGAAAGAACAUUUGAUUUGGAUUGAAAUUGUGAUGAACAUGAAGAAAGAGCCUACUAAAAAGCACAACCUAAUCCUUCAUUAAUUUCACAAUGUCAUCAAAUACACAACACGUUGUGAUGAAUAAGAUACAAACUCAUAGAUUGAUGGUAGAGAUAACCUUUAUAUUUGUGGAAAAGCCUCCAUUGCUCUCCAUCAUACACUACCU
rnacentral:lncRNA from 1 species